ensembl:lncRNA
AUGUCCUCAGACUCAGGAAUGCAUUCCUUCCAGGACCAGCAGACAUCUGUCAUCAUCGGGUCUCCUUAGCAACCUUUGUGUUUUAUGUACCCACAAGUGACCGCUGACACAGUUCCCUUCUAGGAGCUACACACAGAGCUGCCAUUGCCGGGGGAUUAGAAAAUUUUGGUGCUGUUGUUAUUCUUCUCUCCUAACUCCCUGCCUGACCUCUCACUCUCUUUUUCUUCAGCAUGUCCAGGCUGCCCUCUCACCCUCACUAUCAGCCAAUGCUUUGGAAAACCAUCAUGAUCUGAAAAUCAGAUGUCCAGUGGUCUCACCCCUGCAAGGUUGCUGUGGCUGGCUGGCUGGCUGCUUUGUUGGGGUCCCACAUCAGGAAGAGAUACCUGUAGCCCACAGGCACUGUGGGCAGCAGCUUUGCCUUUCAUGUCUUCAUUCGUCAACCUUCAUUGUCUUUUACAGAUUAAUUUCUCCAUUUCCUCAAUUAACACCAAUUGAUGAGCACUGAACCAGGUUUCAAACUGAAUAUAGUCAGUCCUCUGUAUCUGAAAAUUCCACAUUUAUGGAUUUUUAAAAAUUCCAGAAAGUUCCAUUUUAUACAAGGGACUUGAGAAUCUGCAGAUUUUAAUAUCCACAGAAAGUCCUGGAAGUAAUCUGCCAAGGAUACCAAGGGACAACUGUACAAGCAGAAGCAGAUUUGCCAUGAAGCUAAUGAAGGCCACUUACAUAAGAGUUCGUGCUGAGACAGGCUGUCCUCCUCCGGCUCAGGAUCAAGAGUUAAACUCCCAGGGACGAUGACAGAAACAACGUGAGAAUCACAGGGCCAUGGCCCAUGACGUCCAGGAAGGAAAACCAAGUGAUAUGUAACGAUUAGUCCUUUCACACUGACGCGGGGGUUUCCUGGGGUGUUUUCAAGCUUUUGGGUGGUGGCGCAGUAUGCAAGAGGGGGAAAAGCUCUGUGAACAAGAUAGGGCUAAAGAAUGGUUCCUGGUUUCCCAUUUUGAAGAUAGAACAAUGUGCACACAACAGUGUGUGUGUGCUGAAGGGGAGAGUCAAAAGUUCAGCCAUCUUCUGACCUGUCAAAUCCAUCCUGACCUGCUAAAAACUAUACAGAUAAACACUGUAUCCAAAUGUGGGAG